rnacentral:rRNA from 1 species
UAGCAAACAGGAUUAGAUACCCUGGUAGUCCACGUCCCUAACGAUGUAUACUAGUUGUUGCUAAGCUAGUCUUGGCAGUAAUGCAGUUAACGCAUUAAGUAUACCGCCUGGGGAGUACGGUCGCAAGAUUAAAACUCAAAGGAAUAGACGGGGACCCGCACAAGCGGUGGAGCAUGUGGUUUAAUUCGAAGAUACGCGAAGAACCUUACCUGGACUUGACAUCCUAAAAACAUCUAAGAGAUUAGAAAGUGCUAGUUUACUAGAAUUUAGUGACAGGUGCUGCACGGCUGUCGUCAGCUCGUGUCGUGAGAUGUUG